GCAGCACCUUCAAGAUGAUUCAGGGCUCGGAUGGAAGCAGUGGCUGAGGAGAGCCUGGGCCCCUGUGAGCCCCUCCUGAUCAUUGCCCAACAUGCCCGUGUGCCCUGCUGGUCCUGCCCUGUCCACUAUGAAGGCCAUUGGGUCUUUAUCUAUUUAUUUAUUUUUAAAGAGACAGUGCCAUCCUUGGCUCCAUUUUUUUCCUCUCCUGUGAGCUGUCCUCAGCUGCUGGCUCCACUAUGGGUGUCCGUGCUCCCAGCAGCGUCGCUGACAGAGAACAGGCUUGCAGCGUGUGC
ensembl:lncRNA